rnacentral:rRNA from 1 species
CUACGGGUCGCUCCAGUGGGGAAUAUUGCACAAUGGGCGCAAGCCUGAUGCAGCCAUGCCGCGUGUAUGAAGAAGGCCUUCGGGUUGUAAAGUACUUUCAGCGGGGAGGAAGGGAGUAAAGUUAAUACCUUUGCUCAUUGACGUUACCCGCAGAAGAAGCACCGGCUAACUCCGUGCCAGCAGCCGCGGUAAUACGGAGGGUGCAAGCGGUAAUCGGAAUUACUGGGCGUAAAGCGCACGCAGGCGGUUUGUUAAGUCAGAUGUGAAAUCCCCGGGCUCAACCUGGGAACUGCAUCUUAUACUGGCAAGCUUGAGUCUCGUAGAGGGGGGUAGAAUUCCAGGUGUAGCGGUGAAAUGCGUAGAGAUCUGGAGGAAUACCGGUGGCGAAGGCGGCCCCCUGGACGAAGACUGACGCUCAGGUGCGAAAGCGUGGGGAGCAAACAGGAUUAGAUACCCGAGUAGUC